UUUAUUCAAAAAAUUUCUGAACACUAGAGGGCUGAUUACUUGAAUGUACACCGUUCAAAAUCUGGGAUAACCACGUGGCGAAUAGGACGUACCGAUGCAGCGUUAUAAGUAGAAACGAAAGACGGAGAUAUACAGAAACAAAAAAAAAGAGACUUAGAAACAUUUUCUGGGAAGAUGUUAGGUCGGACUGUUGGGCCCGGUGGGAAAAAAAAGAGUACGCGAGAGCCGGAAGAAAGAAGAUCCGGAGUCGUCGGUCAACAGGUGAUGUUAACUUUAGCGAAUCGUUAGGAGAGAAACGGGCGGAAAGUUUCUUUCUAAGCCGACGACGAUCCGGCUACGGCGCCGAGCUCCGAUAGACUCUGGCAUAUUGCCAGUACUACAGCCGAGCUCCUGGACGACGUUGAUUGGUGGAGCGGCUGCACCAAAGUGGGUGAGAGAGCCGAUGGCGUCACGGGCUUGCGUCAUGUAUCCAGGUCAUCCGCUGUCCCUCGAAACUCCCGUCAUCCCCUGCCAGCUUUCUGAUUCUGUUUGCGACUGUGUGAGUCGUUCAAAGGCCAUUUGUAUCGGCCGACGCGUACAGCUGAUGUACCUUCUUUCGUCGAACCACCUCGUCCCGUUUGUAGACGACAACGCUGAUGUGUUAUGGGUGUGGAAUUUUGUCACGUUGAUGCUUCACAAUUUGAUUUCGAGGUAAGUUAUUUAUAUUCUCUUUCAGUUUUCGCUGGCGUCCCGAUUGCAGAAUGGCAUCGGGUUUAAUGCCAUUCGGCCAAAGUUUUUCUCCCGUCUCCUAAGCCGGACCCUUUACUUUAUGUUGUGUCCGGGAGUUACCGGGGCCAGCCGUCCCUUUUAUCGGGUGUUACAGCUCCAUAUCUCUUCUGAGGGACAGUUUGUGUCGCGUUACCUAAGACGUCGCCGCUCACCUGUUGAGUAACCGCGUUCCACAGAUAUGUCAUCGGCUGCCAGUUGCCACUGUUUGACCCUUCUACUGGACUUUAUCAAUCGGUAAAUGUUUGCCCUGUCAUUUUACCGCUCGUUUUGGGCCAUGCCCAUUAGUCGGACUUACGAUGCGAUUAUUAAUCCUCGGCCACGUGACACGUGUACCCGUUUACCGAAAUAUCCGGACCGAGGAACAUAUCAAUUUUUUUUAUUAAAACUUUUAUUUCGAUAAAUAAUUUGAGAUAGAUUUAAGAGGUUAUCAUUGAUUUAUAGUCUGUCGUUGAAUGGAAGUAUGGCAAAUGCUACUCGCAAAAUUAAAAUAAAAUUCCACCCCCGCAAUAUCGGUUCAUGACUAGCAGCCCCAACCUUUCCCCGUUAUAAAUUCCAAUAAAUAAUUCUUGCAUAUUUAUUAUUAUGUGACAAAUAACCGACUUAGACGGAACUAACGAAACCUUGUUUACGUCAGUACUGUACAAAAUUAAAGUAGAAAAAUAACAGAAUGUCAGUGUUUGACGGUGGCGCCUCUGUUGGCCAUGAUCGGUACUGGGCAUGACGUAUGUGUUUUCGUAGAAAUGCCGUACCUGUUGUGCGCGGUCGGCCGCGAGCAGAAGCGCGCGUAGAGAGAACACCCACACAUAUCUGUAUUUGCCUGGCGUAAAUUUCGGAAAUACACAACAUAGAAAUGACGUAAAUCCGAACUGGUAAAUCAAAUUGAUGGAGAUUAAUGGCCGCCGUUCACUUAAUAUUUUUUAAGUUCGGGAAGAAGAAUGAAAUAUUUUAUUUAAUAUUACACUUGACGCGCGCAAGAAUAAAAGAUUUAAAUUAGGAUAUAUUUUUUCCCUUCAAUUUUGCAUAUAUAGUAAUUGACACAGAGAAGCGACGAGCAUAAAGUAUGUGUAUGGUCGCGUCGUGAUGACAUGCGGCAGACAAACCAGCUUAGGGUUUUUCAAAUUGGAAUUAGGAAAGAAAUGGAUUGUCUAACAAUUCUGAUAUUAAAUCAGGGUUACUUGGAUCCUAUUAAUUAAAUGAAUAGUACAAGAAAAGCGCAUUCCAUGACGAAUAUGAGAAGUAAUCAGUAAUUAAAAAUUUACUGUAUAAGAUAUUCGUUUUUUUCAAAGUUGAGUAAAAAAUAUGAACAUUUGAAGUCACGUAUUGUUUGGAUAGGAAAAUGCAAAAUUAACAUUUAAAGAAAAGAAAUUGGAGAACGGUACAGACCAAGAAAAUCAUGACAAUAUUGUUACAGAAUUUUGAAUUAAUUUGUUGAUAAUUCUAAUAUCUGUUCCGCUGUUCAUUUGGAACUAUUUCCAUCAUUCCAAAGUCCAGUCGCCAUAAUUAUUGAUAAGAAAAUUAUCACAUGUUUAUUUUAAAAUAUUCCGUCUAGCCGGCAUUCCUCUAAUUAGACAUUAAUCGGGUAUCUGUAAUAGAUACACGACAACAAAUUGUACGAACUUGACCCAUCGUUCGUUCCUUAAAACGAUAUGUGCGAGUUCAAAUCUGGCGCCGUAAGAUGUUGAAGCGGAUCGAGGCGUCUGUACCUAUAGCUAGAAAAGUCGACCAUCCCGCCGCUUUCUCAGGCGAAACUCUUCCCUAUCCCGUCAUUCUGUGCGUUGCUUACGGUCUUAGUCGACUGGACCGCGGCCAUUUUAAAAUAGUCUUUCCACAAAAAUUACACGUGCUAGUCCGUUAGUAGAAAGAAAAAAAUUCAGAUCUUUCGCACGGUCAUUUCUCUGCUGAUCGGUUUCGAUUAAUUCCCAAAUUCGUUCAUCAUUUUUCUCAUAUAGUCAUAAAUUUAAUUAACAAUUUUGUUUUAUAAACGUCAAAAGAUAUCUAUUAUGUAAAAAACAUUUACGCUAGGUGUAAGUUGUUUGGUGCGUCGGCAUUGAGAUGAAUAUAAGAAUUGUCCUUCGAAUAUAUUUCGUGAUCUUAGAGACCUUUCAGAUGUUUUACUUGCAACUCGUUUUCGGCGUAAUACGAAACUUGUAGAAUUAUGUAAGAAAUUAUCGUUUGAAUAUAAGUAAACUCUUAAACAUCCAUGGCAUCUUUUUCCCUCUUUUGCCCUCCGGUAAUGCAUUAUAAAAUUUCCGAGAUCCAAUUAAUUUUAACAUCAUGUUCUCUGAACAGUAAACCAUUGUACUAUUCUUCUGUUUGAAAGAGAUAAAAUUAUUAGCGCCUUAACCAAUUUGAAUGCGAAAAAAUAUAUUUCAUAUGCC
rnacentral:lncRNA from 1 species